rnacentral:rRNA from 1 species
AUUGAACGCUGGCGGUAUGCUUAACACAUGCAAGUCGAACGAGUGGCGGUCGGGUGAGUAAUGCAUAGGAAUCUACCUUUUAGUCUAGGAUAACUACUCGAAAUGGUGGACAAUACUUGAUGCCAAGAGAUGAGCCUAUGGGGGAUUAGCUAGUUGGUGGGGUAAUGGCUCACCAAGGUGACGGUCUCUAGCUGGUUUGAGAGGAUGAUCCGCCAAACUGGGACUGAGGCCCGGCCCAGACUCCUACGGGAGGCAACAGUGGGGGAUAUUGGGCAAUGGGCGAAAGCCUGAUCCAGCAAUACCGCGUGUGUGAAGAAAGCCCUACGGUUGUAAAGCACUUUUGUUAGGGAGAUGUUACCUAAAGAAUAAGCACCGGCUAACUCCGUGCCAGCAGCCGCGGUAAUUC